rnacentral:rRNA from 16 species
GCAGGCGUUGGGGUAGAGCAGCGAGAAGGCGGUGAGGAUCAGAAAGACCUCAACGCCGUAUUUUCCGCGAUCCACAAAGUCACCAUUGAAGAGGUAAAGGUUGUCGGGGGCUGGAAGACCGUGUGCCCCGAGG